AACGCACAUUGCGCCCCCUGGCAUUCCGGGGGGCAUGCCUGUCCGAGCGUCAUUUCUGCCCUCAAGCACGGCUUGUGUGUUGGGUGUGGUCCCCUCCGGUUGGGACCUGCCCCAAAGGCAGCGGCGACGUCGCGUCUGGUCCUCGAGCGUAUGGGGCUUUGUCACCCGCUUGGGAGGGGCCUGCGGGCGUUGGUCAACCCCCAACCUUUUUAUGUUGACCUCGGAUCAGGUAGGAGUUACCCGCUGAACUUAA
rnacentral:misc_RNA from 1 species